GAACCAGCGGCAUAUAUCCUAAGCGGAAGAGCUGACUCGGGAUAAACCUCCUGAUCAUGAAGGCACACACCAUAGAUACUCACCACCAAGCAACCAAAGGUUCACCAUUUAUUAUGGGAAAAGAUGACAAGCGAGCUGCCACCGCUCCGAGCAAGACCUAAGAAGAACGAGCCCAACAAUGACGUGGAUACCGCCUUGAGCUC
rnacentral:lncRNA from 1 species